rnacentral:rRNA from 2 species
UACGGAGGGUGCAAGCGUUAUCCGGAUUCACUGGGUUUAAAGGGUGUGUAGGCGGAUUUUUAAGUCAGUGGUGAAAUCUCCGGGCUCAACCCGGAAACUGCCAUUGAUACUAUUAGUCUUGAAUUCUGUUGAGGUGGGCGGAAUACAUCAUGUAGCGGUGAAAUGCUUAGAUAUGAUGUAGAACACCGAUUGCGAAGGCAGCUCACUAAGCAGCGAUUGACGCUGAGGCACGAAAGCGUGGGGAUCAAACAGG